CUUUAACAGCCUUUAAAAUGGCAACUUUUGGUGUCUACUAUCUGUCCACCAUUGGCAUAGUGUAAUAAAUAGGCAGGCUAUUCACUGAACUUCAAAUUGUAAUGAAUUAAAGGAACACUCCUGGCACUAUAACCACUACAGCUACUGCAAAUACUCCAUAUUAAUUAGCCCAUUUUUUCUUAUUUUACAAAUAGUGUCACCAUGAAGGAGCAGUUGAUAUUUUUCCCCCCUAAAUGUAACCUGGGCCCAAUAAAUUAGUGGAAAUUGAACCUGGUAUAGUGCGUAAUCACUUUGCAAAUGUCUAAGUAUUUCUGUACUCAGGAGC